UACGUAGGGGGCGAGCGUUGUCCGGAAUCAUUGGGCGUAAAGAGCUCGUAGGCGGUUCAGUAAGUCAGGUGUGAAAGCUCCGAGCUCAACUCGGAGAGGCCACCUGAUACUGCUGUGACUAGAAUCCAGUAGGGGAGUGUGGAACUCCUGGUGUAGCGGUGAAAUGCGCAGAUAUCAGGAAGAACACCAGCGGCGAAGGCGGCACUCUGGGCUGGAAUUGACGCUGAGGAAGCGAAAAGUGUGGGUAGGCAAACAGG
rnacentral:rRNA from 1 species